rnacentral:tRNA from 1 species
GGUGGCUCAGGGUAGAGCGCUUGCCUUGCAUGCAUGAGACCCUGGGUUCGAUUCCUAAAGCACCA